GCGUGCGCGGUUGUCAAGCAUCAAGGGUAACAGGCAGCAUAACUCGGCGACGUGUGAGCGAGCGAGGUAGCAGUAGCAAUCAGCAUCUGGUGGGGCCGCGACGAUAAAAUUGCUGGUGUUUUUUUGUUUCCUCCGUUGAUUGUGUUAUCUGUGUGUGUUUCUGUGGUGCCCCCGGAUCUUCGGUGCACACGGUGUUGCCAGCAGUCCGUGAGCGCUCCAAAGGUGUCACACCUGCAGUCCGGUCACCAACUCCAGGAUACCACGAGUCGUCUCGCCAUCCCGUGGUCCCGCGCAGAAGCCAACGCCGCAGUGCUGCAACCAAAGCAGGCCGCCAGACCACGGCUCGUCGGAAGUUUCUCGACGAUCAGCGCAUAAAGUGGAAUAUACGGCUCGUUCUCGUGCAUCGCAGGAGACAUUUGCCGGUCGCCACUCGUUCGCGGUUGUCGAUCCCAGCAGCAGCAGCAGCAUCAUCAUCAUCAGCGCCAACUCUUUCGUCAUUCUUGGACUUGGAGGAGCCACCGCGAAGAACGAUCGAGAGCAAGCGCGCCAGUGAGUAAGGUCGUCGUCGUCGUCGUCGCUGUCGCCGUCGCCAGGUUGUCAGGUGCGGCCUUCUAGCUGGUGAGAUAGGCGGAGAGAGCGAGAGAGCGAGCGUUUGGCCACCCGCGCGCGCGAGAAGUGCGUGAACCGCGAAGAAGAAGAAGAAGCAAAAGAAGAAACCGCGGAUUGCAAGUGUGUACGUGAAUUCCGAGUAAAAUCCUUUAUCCCUACACGAGCCGCGUGUGCGCGUGAAGCUGCCGAGCAGCUGAGAGAGCCAGCCUGGUGUGUUUGUGCGUCAGCAGUGUGCAGUGUAUGUAUGCUAGCGCCCGUGUGUUCGUGUGUGUGCGCUUUACAUUGCGUACACUGUCUCUUGUGCUCCCCUCGCGUAUCGCAAACUAGCCGCAGCAGUAGCAGCAGCAGCUGGCCCAGCUUUCGGUUGCCAGGUUUUUUCUGGAGAAGGAAAAGGGUUGCAUUUUCCUUCCACUGACCACCGCGGGGUGUGAAAAAUCAAUCGGAUAGUGCGUUCGUGUGUCGGUACGGGUGUACUACUACCGUGUACGCGUGUGUGUCGCCCGGUGCGUCUGUGUGUCCGGUGUAACAGUGUCCGUGUCCGUGUCCGUGUGUCUCUGUGUGUCGACACGACUAAAUCUAGUGUGUUGGCAUUUGCUGACGACCGUCGCUGCCGCCGUCGCCAAGAGUAGAUCUAGUAUACGUGGUGACGAGGAGCCUUCCUCUCCUUUGGGCCUUACAUCCGUUGUAGUGUGUGCGGAGGUCAUCGCGUGUUGUGCUGCUGCUGCAGCAGGUCAUCUCCUCCAUCGUCGCCGGCCACCGUCGGUGCAAGAAAGUGCAACACACCCACCGCGCACGCUGGUGUGACCGACCUUCUUGUCUUGCAUAGCGAGAGCGAGAGAGCGAGCAGGAGAAAGAUCAGCGCUGCUACGAUCAUCGACACUGAAAAGUUCCUCCAGAAAAAACACCGAUUCCGAAAGAAAAGUCUGUGGCCAUCCCGUUGGCACUCCGAAGACGACGACAACAACGACUGCAGAAGCCGUCGAACCCGUGUGAACGCGUUCCCUUGCGCACGAAGGCGACAAACGAAGACGAGUUGUAAACAUGGCGGACUCCAUGGAAGAAAUUAACCAAAUUCUCAACAGUAAAACGCAAUCACCAGGUAAGUGCGAUUUCUCUUUUUCUGGAAAGCAACAAAGAAGUUGGGGAAGUGCGGCAAACAAUGCGGAAAACCAGUUUCUUUCGCGGUGC